rfam:Lactobacillus backii strain TMW 1.1989, complete genome.
GCGUCGGUAGUGUAAUGGAUAGCACGUGAGAUUUCGGUCCUUACGAUCGGGGUUCGAUUCCCCGCUGACGCA